CGGGGCGUGGCUCAGCCUGGUAGAGCGCUGCGUUCGGGACGCAGAGGUCGCUUGUUCAAAUCAAGUCGCCCCGA
rnacentral:tRNA from 1 species